AAUGUCUACGGACCAAAGCGGGGGACCUUCGGGCCUCGCGCCAUCAGAUGAACCCAUAUGGGAUUAGCUUGUAGGUGAGGUAACGGUCACCUAGGCGAGAUCCCUAGCUGGUCUGAGAGGAUGAUCAGGCCACACUGGGACUGAGACACGGCCAGACUCCUACGGGAGGCAGCAGUGGGGCAAUAUUCGCACAAUUGGGCGCAAGCCCUGAUGCAGCCAUGCCGGUGUACUCGAACGAAGGCCUUCGGGUUGAACAGGUUGGCUUUCCCAAGUCCGGGGGAAGCGAACGGGUCGGCGUCAAAGCGGCUCAAACUACAACCCCUCUUCACUCCANAUUCCGGAACGNUCACACCGGAACCACGAACAGAACGCCACCCCGGNNCCUCAAAACCUCCACGNUGGCCCAAGCAAGCCCCGCGCGGGCUCUAACUACCGGGCAGGCAUGCACAAGCCGCCUCACACAAAUCNCGCGUCAACUNCACGCUGGGGGCGGNCACGGCUUCAACAAAGGCCGGACCCAANGGCACAAGGGCCCGAGCGAACAGGCAACCAGAGGGACAGCUCCCCAACAGCAAAUUAGGUCCGGCAGAAAAGCAUCCA
rnacentral:rRNA from 1 species